rnacentral:lncRNA from 1 species
UUGAAUCAGAGGCAAAUCAUCCCCAAAUGGCGGGUGCGAAAGGGUCGUCAUGUGCUAUCCCAGGAUGUGAUGCAAAAGUGAUGAGUGAUGAAAGGGGCAUUGAUAUCGUUCCUUGUGAAUGUGAUUUCAAGAUAUGCAGAGACUGCUACCUGGAUGCUGUCAAAACCGGUGAUGGUAUAUGUCCGGGGUGUAAGGAGCAAUAUAAAGUCACUGAUUGGGAUGAAGCGAAUGGAAAUGAUCGGCCGCUUCCUCUGCCCGCGCCAGCUGGGAUGUCAAAGAUGGAGAGAAGAUUGUCAAUUAUGAAAUCAACUAAGUCGGCAUUGAUUAGGAGCCAUACUGCAGAUUUUGAUCACAACCGUUGGCUGUUUGAAACAAGGGGCACAUAUGGGUAUGGAAAUGCUAUAUGGCCAAAAGAAGGUGGAUUUUCAAAUGGAAAAGAUGAUGAUAUUGUUGAGUCGACUGAACUGAGGAACAAACCAUGGAGGCCACUUACGCGCAAAUUGAAAAUUCCUGCUGCAAUCCUAAGUCCUUACAGGUAAGAAGUUAUAUCCGCUUUUACUCUUCAGAGUCCUCUGCGUUGUUUUAGGAUUGAUACUAAUAGCUGUACGCUCUACUUAAUCACCCUUGUUGGGGGGUCUGAAGAAUAACUAGCUGCUUGGUUGCACUUGUGCUUUUGCUUCAUUUGUCCCUGACCCAUAGUUUUUCCAUUGAUUUCAGCUACCUUUUAAUCGAUCGAUUAAUUUCUAAGUUCUCCACAAAAUUUUAAAUACAUGCAUUUUUCUCAUAUUACUACCGGUUGUUUCUUUUGCUUCGGUUAUCUUAUUAUCUUGAUUGUUAUUGCAUCUUUUCCAUGGCUUCUCCAUUACUGUAUUUCUUUUCAACAAUUAUGUGACUAUACCUUUCCUUAGCUGAGGGUCUAUCGGAAACAAUCUCUCUACCUUUAUAAGGUAGGGGUAAGGUCUGCGUACACGCUAUCCUCCCCAGACACACUUGUAAGAUUACACCGAGUUUGUUGUUGUUGCAUUUUUCUCCUAACACAUGCUAUGUGUAUUUCACAACUGGGUUAGUCUUGAAUGACACAUAGCUGGUGUAUCUGCAGAUCUUUUCCUUUAUUCGGUUGAACCAUUCACGGGUGCAGAUAUCGAAUGUUAUAUCUUUUAAUGAACUUUUACUACUUUCCAAGGAAAAAGAUCACUGCUAUCUUUAUAGUAUUGUAGUUGUUAUAAGAUAUAAAAAGUAAAGAAAAAUCUGAAUGUGUUUCUUAUUCUCCUGACCUGAAUACUGCUAUCACUAUAGUUCUAGUGUUUAAUGUGAAAUGCCUUCUCUUUGAUGAUCCAAAGGACCGUUGUCAAUGAACUGGAUGGAAAGAAAAAGUGGUUCAUUGCUUUGUCUAGCGUUUAUCUCAUGCAGUGACAAUCUACUGGUUCCAGAUAUUUUGAGCUGAUAUAUACUUUCUUUUCCUAUGUUUCUUCUGUUCAGACUUUUGAUUGCUGUUCGGUUUGUUGUACUUGGGCUUUUCUUAACAUGGAGAGUGCAACAUCCCAACAAUGAUGCAAUUUGGUUGUGGGGGAUGUCCGUGGUUUGUGAAAUAUGGUUUGCUUUCUCAUGGAUUCUUGACCAAUUGCCCAAACUUUGCCCUAUCAACCGUGCGACUGAUCUUGGUGUCUUAAAAGACAAAUUUGAAUCACCUAGCCCAAACAAUCCUACUGGGAGGCUUUGCCCUGUCAACCGUGCGACUGAUCUUGGUGUCUUGAAAGACAAAUUUGAAUCACCUAGCCCAAACAAUCCUACUGGGAGAUCUGAUCUCCCUGGCGUUGAUAUGUUUGUCUCUACCGCUGAUCCAGAGAAGGAACCUCCUCUUGUGACUGCAAAUACUAUAUUGUCCAUUCUAGCUGCAGAUUAUCCUGUGGAAAAGCUUGCUUGCUAUGUUUCUGAUGAUGGAGGGGCUCUUUUGACUUUCGAGGCAAUGGCAGAAGCUGCAAGUUUUGCUAAUUUAUGGGUACCAUUUUGUCGCAAACAUAACAUCGAACCUAGAAAUCCAGACAGUUACUUCAGUUUAAAGAAGGAUCCGUACAAAAACAAGGUAAAGCAAGACUUUGUUAAGGAUCGUAGGCGGGCAAAGCGUGAGUAUGAUGAGUUUAAGGUCCGUAUCAAUGGGUUGCCAGAGUCCAUUCGCCGUAGGUCUGACGCUUAUCAUGCAAGGGAAGAAAUUAAGGCCAUGAAGCAACAGAGGCAGAAGACUGAGGAUGAACCUGUUGAGAAUGUAAAGAUCCCAAAAGCUACGUGGGUUGCCAGAGUCCAUUCGUCGUAGGUCUGACGCUUAUCAUGCAAGGGAAGAAAUUAAGGCCAUGAAGCAACAGAGGCAGAAGACUGAGGAUGAACCAGUAGAGAAUGUAAAGAUCCCAAAAGCUACGUGGAUGGCAGAUGGAACCCAUUGGCCUGGGACAUGGUUGAAUUCUGGACCUGAGCAUUCCAAGGGUGAUCAUGCUGGAAUAAUACAGGUAAUAUUCUCUUAACUGUCUACUCUAAAUUCUUUGUUACAGGUAAUAUUCUCUUAACUGUCUACUCUAAAUUCUUUGGAUUCCACUUACAAUCACGUUUACAAAUCUCUUAACUGUCUACUCUAAAUUCUUUGGAAUUCCACCUAUAAUCACGUUUACAAAUUGAUAGGUUUAUGUAAGCUAUUAAUAUGACCAUGUUUUUAAAUAUGCAGGUGAUGUUGAAACCUCCAAGUGAUGAUCCACUGCAUGGUAACAGUGAGGAUGGGGUUAUGGACCUUACUGAUGUUGAUAUCCGUCUUCCCAUGCUUGUUUAUGUUUCUCGUGAAAAGCGCCCUGGCUAUGAUCACAACAAGAAAGCAGGCGCUAUGAAUGCCCUGGUUCGAGCAUCCGCAAUCAUGUCCAAUGGUGCAUUUAUUCUUAACCUUGAUUGUGACCAUUAUAUUUACAACUCCCAGGCUAUCAGGGAAGGUAUGUGUUUCAUGAUGGAUAGGGGAGGGGAUCGUCUUUGCUAUGUUCAGUUCCCACAGAGGUUUGAGGGCAUUGACCCGUCUGAUAGGUAUGCCAAUCGCAAUACUGUAUUUUUUGAUGGUAACAUGAGGGCCCUUGAUGGGCUACAGGGUCCAAUGUAUGUGGGAACUGGAUGUCUCUUUCGAAGGGUAGCACUUUAUGGUUUUGACCCUCCUUGCUCCAAGGAACACCAAUCCGGUUUCUGUAGCUGCUGCUUUGGUCGCAGAAGAAAGCAUAUUAAUGCACCAGAAGAGCAUCGGGCUUUACGAUUAGGUGAUUCGGACGAUGAAGAAAUAAACCUCUCACUGGCUCCUAAGGCUUUUGGGAACUCAGCAGUCCUUAUUGAUUCAAUCCCGGUGGUGGAGUUCCAAGGUCGUCCUUUGGCAGAUCAUCCAGCUGUGAAGAAUGGACGGCCGCCUGGUGCUUUGACCAUUCCUCGGGAGCAUCUUGACGCAUCAACUGUUGCAGAGGCCAUCAGUGUCAUCUCCUGCUGGUACGAGGAAAAGACAGAGUGGGGACAACGUGUCGGAUGGAUUUAUGGUUCAGUUACUGAAGAUGUCGUCACAGGAUACAGGAUGCACAACAGGGGUUGGAAAUCAGUUUAUUGUGUUACCAAACGCGAUGCAUUCCGAGGGACUGCCCCUAUUAAUCUCACUGAUAGGCUCCAUCAGGUCCUUCGAUGGGCUACUGGUUCUGUUGAAAUCUUUUUCUCCCGAAACAAUGCCCUACUGGCCAGCUCAAAAAUGAAAUUCUUACAGAAAAUUGCUUACCUCAAUUGUGGAAUCUACCCCUUCACAUCAAUCUUCUUAAUUGUCUACUGCUUCUUACCAGCACUCUCCCUGUUCUCCGGUCAGUUCAUUGUCCAAACACUCAAUGUCACCUUCCUUGUGUACCUCCUGACUAUUACAGUCACCCUCUGCAUGCUUGCGGUGCUCGAGGUCAAGUGGUCAGGCAUCGAGUUGGAGGAGAUGUGGAGGAACGAGCAGUUCUGGCUGAUUGGAGGGACAAGUGCUCACUUAGCUGCUGUGCUUCAGGGGCUCCUGAAAGUUGUUGCUGGCAUCGAAAUUUCUUUCACCUUGACGUCAAAAUCAGCUGGUGAUGACGAUGAUGAUGAAUUUGCUGAUCUCUAUAUGGUUAAGUGGACAUCCCUCAUGAUCCCGCCCAUUACAAUCAUGAUGGUAAACUUGAUAGCAAUAGCAGUUGGUUUUAGCAGGACAAUAUAUAGUGUUAUACCACAGUGGAGCCGUUUACUAGGGGGUGUAUUCUUCAGUUUUUGGGUUCUGGCACAUCUCUAUCCCUUCGCGAAAGGGCUUAUGGGCAGAAGAGGCAGGACACCAACCAUUGUCUUUGUAUGGUCAGGACUUAUUGCUAUCACCAUUUCCCUUCUUUGGGUGGCAAUUAAUCCUCCAGCAGGCACUACUCAAAUUGGAGGAUCAUUCCAGUUCCCUUGAUCAUCUUGCUUUCGGAAGUUUAAGCAGCGCUAAUAUCGUGGCAAAAAGUGCUGGUAUGUUUGAUCACUGCAUAUCAAUUGGAAUUAUAUAUUUUUCAUCUCACCAAUGAAAUUGGUGUCAUACAAGCUGCUCAACUAUUUUUAGCAUAGUGGAAGCAGAACUAAGCAAGUUUAGUUGAGUUGGACUUGGAUAGAGAACAUUCAGCAUUUUUUGUAUCAUCUUGGACCGGAAUUAUUCAUUUAAUUGUUUGGUUUACACUACCAUUGAUAGUUUAGGAAUUGCAAUAGAUAUUUUUGUCAUUCAAGUGUCCUCUUCACUUCUUUCUUCUGUUAAUCAUGGAAAUUUAAAUUUCUGGCAUAAGCUGACCGAGACUGGAGUAAAUUGACUAGAGUUCCAAAGUAUGAUUAAAAACCUUUUAAUUUUUCUUUAAAACUUGAGAUCUUUCUUCAUCCUUUUUUUCUUUUCUUUUGUGUUCUUCUUUAUUCCUGUUUGAGAACUUGAAUCAUGUGAUAUUGGUUAAUUCUCUUGUUAGUCACUGGCGGGUGCGAAAGGGUCGUCAUGUGCUAUCCCAGGAUGUGAUGCAAAAGUGAUGAGUGAUGAAAGGGGCAUUGAUAUCGUUCCUUGUGAAUGUGAUUUCAAGAUAUGCAGAGACUGCUACCUGGAUGCUGUCAAAACCGGUGAUGGUAUAUGUCCGGGGUGUAAGGAGCAAUAUAAAGUCACUGAUUGGGAUGAAGCGAAUGGAAAUGAUCGGCCGCUUCCUCUGCCCGCGCCAGCUGGGAUGUCAAAGAUGGAGAGAAGAUUGUCAAUU